GAUAUACUCCUUUCGUCUGAAAAUACUUGUCAUCAAAAUGAAUAAAAGGGGAUGUAUCUAGAUUUGUUUUAGUUCUAGAUACAUCCCUUUUUGUCAAUUUUAAUGACAAGUAUUUUCGGACGGAGGGAGUAUUUU
rfam:Triticum aestivum genome assembly, contig: Triticum_aestivum_CS42_TGACv1_scaffold_576784_7BL